UACAGAGGUCUCAAGCGUUGUUCGGAUUCAUUGGGCGUAAAGGGCGCGUAGGCGGCUCUGUAAGUCAGGCGUGAAAUUCCCGGGCUCAACCUGGGGACUGCGCUUGAGACUGUGGGGCUAGAGGAUGGAAGAGGGUCGUGGAAUUCCCAGUGUAGAGGUGAAAUUCGUAGAUAUUGGGAAGAACACCGGUGGCGAAGGCGGCGACCUGGUCCAUUACUGACGCUGAGGCGCGACAGCGUGGGGAGCAAACAGG
rnacentral:rRNA from 1 species